ACUGUCUCUGGAGCGCUCUGGAGACACGAAGCGUGCAACAAUAGAAUGUAGACAGGGUUUGGGUGGUAAGGGAGUUCCAGCAAAUUAAUAGGAGUCCGGGAAGUUUUUGGGGGCUGGGGUCCAGUUGAGGAAGCCACAGGUUCCAGACUGUCAAGAGCUGCGCAGAUGAAGCUGAUGGGGCCUGGACCAUUAGUUAAGAGUCCGCUCCCCUCACCUCCGUGGUUUGGUUCAGUUUAAUGACCCACCCAGAAUGACCUAUUGCUGUCCUCGUCGGGAUCCAUCCUCUCUUAGGUGUUGGCGACCCCCGGGCCUAUCUCAGCCAGUCUGAAUAGGAAGGGAACCACGAGCCUGCCGAGCUCCCCUGACCUAGCCCUCCGCCCCGCCUUUUGUGUUUUAACCUUUUGUUUCUAUCGGCCACACCCGCCCAAAAGAGCGGCGGCUUUUCGUCUCUGUUCAGCGGGGAAGCAGCGAGGUUCCCUCCAGAUAGCGGUGAAGGGCGGCUUCCUAACUUUGUUUCCCAAGUCCCCUAACUUCGGAAUGCUUCUGCAUUGGUUCUUGCUCAGUGUCAUACCAGCGACUCCAAGAGUCAUGUCACCCACUUAGCAGGAGUACUUCUACUGAAAUGCCUUCGAAUUUCUCUUACUGGAUAUAUACCUACCAGCCGCUAGCAUGAAGAUGCCAGGACCGCUGCAAGUUAGCACUGGACAAAGUAGCAUCAACUUCUUCAUUUAGAGUUUCUUCAGUUAAAUUGCUGGGAUUUUCGACAAGGCUUUCCUUAUGUGGAUUAUUGGAGUGUGAUGCCCGAGAAUUCUCUACUUGUAGAAGCACGCCCACGGGACUGCAGAAGCCUUCACACCCACCCAGCACGCUCAGAUCAUCCAGUAACCAACCCAGGAAGUUCUUGUAAGCAUGCAUUUCUUAGUCAACACUGAAUGCCUUUAGACCGAGGUCAACCUUUUCAGCUGGUACCGUGGUUUACACUGCUGGGUUGAUGGCCUAACACUGGCUUAACACUCAUGUCGGCUGCACUAAUUGAAGUCACAUCCAAGUGGGUCAAUGCACUGAACAUAUCUGAUAUAGAAGGUCCCAGAUCCUGAAUUUUUAUCAAUGGUUUGCUGUAUAAGGCUUGCCUCCCAAAUAGCUGAGGACCCUUAUUUGGGAAGAUACGUUCUGAUGGUUAAGCAACAGCACAGAUGUCGAUGGGAAUGAGUGAUGGCCAUCCAGUGACCAGCUGGAUCUGACUGCCUUACAAGACGCAUGUGUAUGAUUAAGAGAGAGACAUUCGUGACUCCCAGAUGUACCUCCUUCCUGUCCCACAGUGUUCCUGAAGGGAGUGAGUUAUGGGGUAACUUAUAACACAGCAGGCUCUUCCUCAAGAUAGCUCUUGUCAAAACAGGAAGACGAAACUCGGGUUUCCAUGAGGAGACCACAGCUUGGGAUCCUGUCUGGAUGUACAAGCAGAAGCAUCUUCAUACUUUUCCAUUUCUAACCAUCAUGCCUCACCCCACCCUCCCAAGGCGACAUCUGCAGAGAGGUGGAACCAUCUAGGGAGGCCUGCCACUGUUUGCUGAGCUCCGGGUGAGGAUGAAGACACUUUGACAUGGCCAGCUUCAGACUCGGGAUCUGUCGGUGUUAGCAGCCGAAGGAGAAUGAGGAGGAAGAGGAGGAGAAAGAGGAGGAGGAAGUAAGACAGAGGGGGACAAGAGGACCAAGAGGGCACAUGGCUGAGGAGGAGGAGAACAACAACAACAACAACAACAACAACAACAACAAGAAGCUUGGUGUUUUCAGGAUGUGUUCCUGAGUCUCGUGAGUAGCACAUGGCAGUUGUUGUCACCUUGGGCUGAGCCGUGAAGAUUCUCACCCUCCCUUGUUGGGGAUGAACUCCGGGAUUCUAAGGAGAGGUCAGCAGGUGUUUCACAGACUGUUCCUGUUGGAGGAUUUGUCUGAUACUCUUCUCCUGAUUAGUCUGGGCUCUACAUUUCCCCAAGGGUGAAACUUGGAAGCCCUCUCCAGGAUGCAGCAGGUAGCUGAGGAGAAAACGAAGACUGACCAGCCCAGAGCUCAGAGCUUCCUCCCAUGCUCAGGAUUUACCACCAAUGCCAUUACAUCGGCCUCUUCUUGCCAUCAACCAUUGGCUGCCCUAAGCUCCCCGUGAAUUGAGUUAUUCCCAAUAAUGCUCUACAUUAUGAAGACAUUAUUCGAGUGGCUGUCCACUGUGAUCUGGUUAUUUGGAGCUUUACAUAAAGCAGGCUCCUGUUCUGCUGUCGUGCCCAAAGGUUUUGUGGCGGUUGAGUUUGUUUGGUUCUGCAAGAUCAUCCAGGCACCACAACUCUGAGGUUCUGUUCCUUCCAGGCUGCAUCGAUCUAAUGCUCAGACCUACACUGGAAGCAGAGCAUCUCUGACCUGUCAACCCCUGUUCCUGGUAGUGUCCACUGGUGAUGUUGCUCCUGACCCUGGUGGCUAGAGUUUGACCCAUUUGUCGGCUCAGCCCUCAUUCGCGACUCGGAGGAUGCUUUACACUUGAGCAUUUGUGCUACAACUAGAAUCUCAAGGGCACAAGGUUCAGACCACAGUGAAGAGAAGCACCAAUCUUGCCUCCUUGAUUGUUCACCUUUGCGUUUUGUUGGCUUCACCUUCCUUAUCUGUAAGAAAGAAAGGCGCUUGCUGAGCUUUCCUAGAAAGCACAGUUCUUUGUCCUGGACACUCCUGACAUCUUGCCAAUGUGGAGAAGGCUUAUUUACAUUACCUGUCAUCGUCUCAAGCCUUGUAGACCUGCUGCCAGGCUCCCUGCUGCUUCCACAGUCCCAGCUCGCGCUCACACCUUGACUUGCUUUUCCAAGUCACCAUCUCAGUGAUAUAAGUGAAAAUUUUCAACUCUUGUGUUCCACUAUUGUUUUGCUUUAAAACUCUAAAAGACAUCAUUAAAAUGGUGAUUUCUAGUG
rnacentral:lncRNA from 1 species